AUGCUUUCACAACUUGACUUCAAAAUAUUUGGUUUGGAGACCAUCAAAGAUCAAUAUGUGCAUGAUGCUGAUUUUAAAGAUGUAAUGCAGAAUUGUAAAGAAGGAAGAAUGUGGAACAAGUUUGUUGUUAACGAUGGAUUUGUGUUUCGUGCUAACAAGCUAUGCAUUCCAGCUAGCUCCGUUCGUCUUUUGUUGUUGGAGGAGGCGCAUGGAGGAGGAUUAAUGGGACACUUUGGCGUGAAGAAGACGGAGGACGUACUUGCUACACAUUUCUUUUGGCCAAAGAUGAGACGGGAUGUUGAGCGGGCUGUUUUGAAGAAUAAUAAGAAAAUGUGGGAGGAAUGCUUGCCUCAUAUUGAAUUUGCUUAUAAUCGUUCAUUGCAUUCUACUACUAAGAUGUGCCCUUUUGAAGUUGUGUAUGGUUUCCUACCUCGUGCACCUAUUGAUUUGUUGCCUCUUCCAUCUUCGGAGAAGGUUAAUUUUGAUGCUAAACAACGUGCUGAAUUGAUUUUAAAAUUGCAUGAGUUAACUAAGGAAAACAUUGAGCGUAUGAAUGCUAAAUAUAAACUUGCUGGAGAUAAGGGUAGAAAACAUGUUGUGUUUGCACCUGGAGAUCUUGUUUGGUUACAUUUGCGUAAGGAUAGAUUUCCUGAUUUGCGCAAAUCAAAGCUAAUGCCACGUGCUGAUGGUCCCUUUAAGGUGUUAGAGAAAAUAAAUGAUAAUGCAUAUAAACUUGAGCUGCCUGCAGAUUUUGGGGUUAGUCCCACUUUUAACAUUGCAGAUUUGAAGCCUUAUUUGGGUGAGGAAGAUGAACUUCCGUCGAGGACGACUUCAUUUCAAGAAGGGGAGGAUGAUGAGGACAUCAAUACAAUUGUUACACCCACAGCCCCUGCUGCUAUACAUACUGGACCAAUUACUAGAGCCCGUGCACGCCAGCUAAAUUACCAGGAAACAGACCCUCGUGGUCAGGUUGAUCGUGCUCCGGCGUGGUCAAUAACCUCUCGGAGUUGGUUUAGCGAUUGCUAA
rnacentral:rRNA from 1 species